GACGAACGCUGGCGGCGUGCUUAACACAUGCAAGUCGUACGGUAAGGCCCUUUCGGGGGUACACGAGUGGCGCACGGGUGAGUAACACGUGCGUAACCUGCCCACAACUUUGGGAUAACGCUAGGAAACUGGUGCUAAUACUGGAUAUGUGCUCCUGCUGCAUGGUGGGGGUUGGAAAGCUCCGGCGGUUGUGGAUGGACUCGCGGCCUAUCAGCUUGUUGGUGGGGUAGUGGCCUACCAAGGCGGCGACGGGUAGCCGGCCUGAGAGGGUGACCGGCCACAUUGGGACUGAGAUACGGCCCAGACUCCUACGGGAGGCAGCAGUGGGGAAUAUUGCACAAUGGGCGCAAGCCUGAUGCAGCAACGCCGCGUGCGGGAUGACGGCCUUCGGGUUGUAAACCGCUUUCAGCAGGGACGAAGCUUUUUGUGACGGUACCUGCAGAAGAAGCACCGGCUAACUACGUG
rnacentral:rRNA from 1 species